rnacentral:rRNA from 1 species
AUGGCGAACCGCAGAGAUGCUCAAGCCUCGGGGGACAAAGGGAAGGCAAAACUGGAGGAGCUAAUGAAGGAGUUGGCCCUUAAGGAAGAUGACCUUGAUGAUGUGGUUUUCGAUGAUGAUGAUGCCCCGGCGGAGGAAGAACUCCGUUGGAUGAUCUUGGUCAGAGUUCAUAUGGACAAGGAGUUUAGCACCUGCUGGUUUUUCCGCAACAUGAGGACGGCCUGGGACCUUGCUAGGCCGGUCAAAAUGAAAACCCUAGAGGAGAAUCUCUUCCAGAUGCAGUUUGAUUGUUUGGGUGAUUGGGAG